GUUCUUUAGAUUAUAUUUUAAGAUUUGGCCUGCCCUAUGAUUUAUUAAAUGGCUGCGGUAUUUUAACCGUACAAAGGUAGCAUAAUCAUUUGUCUUUUAAUUGAAGGCUGGAAUGAAUGGUUUGAUGAAAAAUUAGCUUUCUUAAAUUAAUUUAAUGAAUUUAAUUUUUUAGUGAAAAAGCUUAAAUUUUUUUAUGGGACGAUAAGACCCUAUAGAGGUUUAUUAAAUAUUUAAUUUAAUUAAUUUUGAUUUUUAUUUAGUUAAAUAAUUUAUUUAAUUUUGUUGGGGUGACAUAUAAAAUUAAUGAACUUUAUAAUUUAUAUUUCAAAUAUAUUUGUUUAAUUGAUCCAAUUUUAUUGAUUAUUAGAUUAACCUACCUUAGGGAUAACAGCGUAAUUAAUUUGGAGAGUUCAUAUUGAUAAGUUAGUUUGCGA
rnacentral:rRNA from 1 species